GUCGGGAGUGGACCAAUACAAGACCCGCAAGGGGAAUACGUCCGGCCUUUUCUACAUUGGGGUUUCUUAGCUCCCGACGCCUAGCU
rnacentral:ncRNA from 1 species